GAGGGUACAGCUCAAGUGGUAGAGCAUAUGCUUAGCAUGCAUGAGGUCCUGGGUUCAAUCCCCAGUACCUCCU
rnacentral:tRNA from 1 species